rnacentral:rRNA from 1 species
AGUGAACGCUGGCGGUAGGCCUAACACAUGCAAGUCGAACGGCAGCACAGUAAGAGCCUGCUCUUACGGGUGGCGAGUGGCGGACGGGUGAGGAAUACAUCGGAAUCUACUUUUUCGUGGGGGAUAACGUAGGGAAACUUACGCUAAUACCGCAUAUGACCUACGGGUGAAAGCAGGGGAUCUUCGGACCUUGCGCGAUUGAAUGAGCCGAUGUCGGAUUAGCUAGUUGGCGGGGUAAAGGCCCACCAAGGCGACGAUCCGUAGCUGGUCUGAGAGGAUGAUCAGCCACACUGGAACUGAGACGCGGUCCAGACUCCUACGGGAGGCAGCAGUGGGGAAUAUUGGACAAUGGGCGCAAGCCUGAUCCAGCCAUACCGCGUGGGUGAAGAAGGCCUUCGGGUUUAAAGCCCUUUUGUUGGGAAAGAAAAGCAGCAGGUUAAUACCCCGCUGUUCUGACGGUACCCAAAGAAUAAGCACCGGCUAACUUCGUG